rnacentral:lncRNA from 13 species
CCCCAAUUAGGUUUGCACCAACUAAAUACAAUAUUUUUACUGUAACAUUUCUAUGAUUAGAUAUGUUUGUAUAUGCAUAUAGUUGCCAUCGUGUUACCAUUGCCUACAGUAUCCAGCACAGUAACAUGUUAUACUAAUGUGUAGCCUGAUGUGUUAGUGUUUAAGUACAAUCACUCUAUGAUGUUUGCCCAACCACAAAAUCACCUAAUAAUGCAUUUCUCAGAUCCUAUCACCAUCAUAUAGAUGCAUGUCUAUAAUCAUGUCUGUGAUGGUGGCAAGGGAACAGAAUCACUAUAUCAUUUCCAGAUGCUUUGAGUCAAUAGCUUUUCUUGUUUCUUUUUCUAUGUCAACAAAAACUGAAGGUUUUAAAUAAUUUCUCAAGAUUAAUAGUAACAACAUUUCACAAUUUGCUGAGCACACUUCAUGUACCUUAAAAUUUCUCCCAUAUUUUAAACAACUGCAACUACUUUGGACUUCUAGAAAGUUCAAAGAGGUGAACAGCCCAUGUACUGACCUAUUACUGAUUUCCACAGCUUUACCUCUACCACAUCUGCCCCUUGCACAUCACCAUGUUUUGGCUUGUAACUUGAUGGAAGAUGGAAGCUGGGGGAGUGUCAGAGUGACCGGUGAAGCAGUUGGAUGCAAAACUGAAGGAGUCCUGUCUCGCCAAGGAAAGCUCAGCUAUGGGGCAGUUUUCUCUUUCUGUCUAAAACGGAAUCACAGUUAACCUCCUUUUCUGUCAAAUACAGGAAAUUAACGAGGUUUUCCAAAUAUCUCCUGCAAGUUGGUCAGUGUCCGCCUAUUUUCUGUUUUUCUGAUUUUAUCCCUUCUGGGGCAUUGUUGGCUUCUGUUAUGCAAGCAGCGUGCCUGCUGGGUUAGUUUUCCAGGUAAUCCAACUUUGCUCCAUGGCUUUUAGACACUGUUGAAUCAAGCUGGUUUCUUCCUUGUAUCCCUUCUGCUUAGAAAUGUCAUUCCUUCUUGGCGAUUUUGUCAGUUUUGUGCUUUGAUUGCUUUGUGUCACAAAACCUUUUUAGAUAAAACUCUAUGUGUUGGGGAAGGAGACCAACAGAAAUGUAUUAUUCAAUUACUUUAAUCAAAUAUCUUUGGGUUAAUGAGUGUGAACUGAAUUGUGGCAAUUUUUAGAAACAUAGCUUUUGAAUUGAAGUUCUUUUGAAAAAAUAAGACUACUUAUUAUGGGUGAAAAAGCUUGGAAUAGUUUUAUUCUACUUUUAAAACACUGUCAGAUUGAAAUAGUACUGGUACAAUAGAAACCUUGUGGUUUGGGAUUCAGAGAUCUGAGUUCCAGUUUUUGCUUUGCUCAUAAGUAAUAUUAAGGUGAUCAGUUAAAUUAUUAGUUUCUUCCUCUAAAAGGAUGGGAUGAGAUUAGAUAAUUUUUUAGGAUGUCUAGAAAUUCUGACUCUGUAAGGCACUGUGUUUUGACAAGGUCCUUUUAGACAUAAAUCAAAAUUAUUCCGAAAAUUUUUUUUUUUUUUUUUUUUGAGACGGAGUUUCGCUCUUGUUACCCAGGCUGGAGUGCAAUGGCGCGAUCUCGACUCACCGCAACCUCCGCCUCCUGGGUUCAGGCAAUUCUCCUGCCUCAGCCUCCUGAGUAGCUGGGAUUACAGGCAUGCACCACCAUGCCCAGCUAAUUUUUUGUAUUUUUAGUAGAGACGGGGUUUCACCAUGUUGACCUGGAUGGUCUCAAUCUCUUGACCUUGGGAUCCACCCGUCUAGGCCUCCCAAAGUGCUGGGAUUACAGGCGUGAACCACCGCGCCCGGCCCCGAAAUUUUUAUUUCAUAUUUUAGAGGCAUCAGUAGGGCAUAAUAUAAAAUAAACUUGUAUGAAACGACA